rnacentral:rRNA from 1 species
GACGAACGCUGGCGGCGUGCUUAACACAUGCAAGUCGAACGGAAAGGCCCUGCUUUUGUGGGGUGCUCGAGUGGCGAACGGGUGAGUAACACGUGAGUAACCUGCCCUUGACUUUGGGAUAACUUCAGGAAACUGGGGCUAAUACCGGAUAGGAGCUCCUGCUGCAUGGUGGGGGUGGGAAAGUUUCGGCGGUUGGGGAUGGACUCGCGGCUUAUGAGCUUGUUGGUGGGGUAGUGGCUUACCAAGGCUUUGACGGGUAGCCGGCCUGGGAGGGUGACCGGCCACAUUGGGACUGAGAUACGGCCCAGACUCCUACGGGAGGCAGCAGUGGGGAAUAUUGCACAAUGGGAGGAAGCCUGAUGCAGCAACGCCGCGUGCGGGAUGACGGCCUUCGGGUUGUAAACCGCUUUAGCCUGUGACGAAGCGUGAGUGACGGUAAUGGGUAAAGAAGCACCGGCUAACUACGUG